AUUGAACGCUGGCGGCAUGCUUUACACAUGCAAGUCGAACGGCAGCGCGGGCUUCGGCCUGGCGGCGAGUGGCGAACGGGUGAGUAAUGCAUCGGAACGUGCCCAGUAGGGGGGGAUAGCCCGGCGAAAGCCGGAUUAAUACCGCAUACGACCUGAGGGUGAAAGCGGGGGACCGAAAGGCCUCGCGCUAUUGGAGCGGCCGAUGUCGGAUUAGCUAGCUGGUGGGGUAAAGGCUUACCAAGGCGACGAUCCGUAGCUGGUCGGAGAGGACGACCAGCCACACUAGGACUGGGACACGGCCCAGACUCCUGCGGGAGGCAGCAGUGGGGAAUGUUGGACAGUGGGGGCAACCAUGGUCCAGCCGUGCCGCGUGCGAGAAGAAGGCCUUCGGGUUGUAAACCGCUUUUGUUCGGGAAGAAAUGCUCUGGGCUAAUACACCGGGGGGAUGACGGUACCGGAAAAAUAAGCACCGGCUAACUACGUG
rnacentral:rRNA from 1 species